rnacentral:snoRNA from 12 species
GUGCUCUUUUAAGAUUGACUCAGCGCUUUAAGAGGCUAACACAGAAGGGAAAAGUAAGUCUCCAUAAAAGGCAAGGGAGAGACUGCAAAACUCUUCUUUGGAUCCUGUCUGCAGUCACAGUA